rnacentral:rRNA from 1 species
GAUGAACGCUGGCGGCGUGCCUAAUACAUGCAAGUCGAGCGAACAGACGAGAGUGCUUGCACUCUCUGACGUUAGCGGCGGACGGGUGAGUAACACGUGGGCAACCUACCUAUUAGACUGGGAUUACUUCGGGAAACCGGAGCUCAUACCGGAUAAUAUUUAGCUUCGCAUGAAGCAAUAGUGAAAGACCGUUCUGCUGUCACUUAUCGGUUGACCCGCGGUGUAUUAGCUAGUUGGUGGGGUAACGGCUCACCAAGGCAACGAUCCAUAGCCGACCUGAGAGGGUGAUCGGCCACAUGGGAGCUGAGCCACGGCCCAGGCUCCUACGGGAGGCAGCAGUAGGGAAUCUGCCGCAAUGGACGAGAGUCUGACGGAGCAAUGCCGCGUGAGUGAAGAAGGUGUUCGGAUCGUAAAACUCUGUUGUAAGGGAAGAACAAGUACGUUAGUAACUGAACGUAGCGUGACGGUACCUUAUCAGAAAGCCACGGCUAACUACGUG